rnacentral:rRNA from 1 species
UACGUAGGGGGCAAGCGUUGUCCGGAUUUAUUGGGCGUAAAGAGCGUGUAGGCGGCCAUUCAGGUCAGCUGUGAAAACUCGAGGCUCAACCUCGAGACGUCGGUUGAAACCGUUUGGCUAGAGUCCGGAAGAGGAGAGUGGAAUUCCCGGUGUAGCGGUGAAAUGCGCAGAUAUCGGGAAGAACACCCGUGGCGAAGGCGGCUCUCUGGAACGCAACUGACGCUGAGACGCGAAAGCGUGGGGAGCGAACAGG